AGCGCCAAGAGACGAAAAUUAGGCGCGCCUAGAUUUGAGUUCCCGAUGAAACCUCAUACUCCAUCUUCCCCUCUCCUCAACCCUAAAACUUUUCUGCAUCUGAAGAACCUCAUAUGCCAUAGUCAGUACUGACCUUCUCUUUUGAUCUCUCAAGUUGGGUUCAAUUCGGUCCUCACGAAGGGAACGGGAGAGAGAGAAUUUUGGAUUUCUCAAUUUUCCGUUUGCGUUUUCAGCUUCAUCUGCACAAUGAACGACCUCCUCAAGGCUCAAUGUUUAAGUCUGUAGCUGGAGAAAGCAAAGGCUCUAAGACAUGUCAAAGUCAUCUUCUGCAGCCACAGUUGGAGGUGCUGUUGGGGCACUUGCCUUGGUGGCAAUAGUCGUCAGAUUCAUGUCGUUCUGCAAGGCACAAUGUAAUAAGCAUUUCCCCAACAAGAACUCGAAGACUGGUUCUUCGGAUCCAUCUGCAAUAGUUGAGCUGACUAGAGGUGGACCUAGUUCAGCAAGGCACUUCACAAUGGAAGAGUUAGAGCAAGCUACCAAGCAUUUUGAUGAAAGCAGUCUUCUGGGAUAUGGAAGUUUUGGAUUUGUUUAUAAAGGUUUGCUCCGUGAUAGGACAGUUGUGGCUAUCAAAAGGCGCCCCG